CCUACGGGUGGCAGCAGUGGGGAAUAUUGGGCAAUGGAGGCAACUCUUACCCAGCAAUGCCGCGUGAAUGAAGAAGGUCUUCGGAUUGUAAAGUUCUUUAAUUGGGGACGAAAAAAAUGACGGUACCCAAGGAGUAAGCUCCGGCUAACUACGUGCAAGCAUCCGCGGUAAUACGUAGGGGGCAAGCGUUGUUCGGAAUGACUGGGCGUAAAGGGUGUGUAGGAGGUUUAGCAAGUUAGAAGUGAAAUACCUAGGGCUUAACUCAGGUGCUGCUUGGAAAACUGCGAUACUUGAGUGCAGUAGAGGAGAGUGGAAUUCCUAGUGUAGCGGUGGAAUGCGUAGAUAUUAGGAGGAACAUCAGUGGCGAAGGCGACUUUCUGGACUGUAACUGACGCUGAGGCACGAAAGUGUGGGGAGCAAACAGGAUUAGAUACCCUUGUAGUC
rnacentral:rRNA from 1 species